GCCUCCUUUUAUUGAGACAAAUAUGCAAACCAGGCAGAUACAUUUUGGGCUGUGACCUUUACACAUCUUCCGGUCCCGAGAUCAUGGGGUGGUACAAAGUUCUUUUGGCACCUGUUUCCACCACGUCAUUUUCCCCUUGCACAGUGUAUGCCGAAGGAGACAAAAGGACUCAGAGACAAAGGUUACAGAAAGGACACCGCAGACUACUGAGACCGCAAAAGGUUAGACAGACAUAACGAUGUUCAGACAACCGUGGCUUUGUCUGUGAGGGGUGCGUGUGCUCCGCACCCCAAGGUCACAUGUGCAGGCAGGCUGAGGCUGCCUGCGGGCGGGGAGUGUGCUCCCUCCGGACCCCACUCCCCACUCCGCGAUCAUCCCUACACUCCUGUCUUCCACUGCCUCCGCAGUUUGGUCAAACUCAUGUUGGUAGCUUCGACAACACUCUCCAACCAUCUCGUCCUCUGUCGUCCCCUUCCCCUUGUGCCCUCCAUCUUUCCCAACAUCAGGGUCUUUUCCAGGGAGGCUUCUCAUGAUGUGGCAAAAGUAUUGGAGCCUCAGCUUCAGGAUCUGUCCUUCCAGUGAGUUCAAGUAAUCCAAUGUAAUUCCCAUUGUGGGGAGAACCAAAUCUUUCCUCAUCUCCUCUGAAGGUAAACCAUGCUCUGCCAGAGUUAUGAUGCCUGCAACAACUCAUUCAAGAACAUGUUUCCAGUGCUGCCGUUCAUUAUGUAUCUGUUCUGCUAGUUGACAGUCAA